rnacentral:rRNA from 1 species
GAUGAACGCUGGCGGCGUGCCUAAUACAUGCAAGUCGAGCGAACGGACGAGAAGCUUGCUUCUCUGAUGUUAGCGGCGGACGUGUGAGUAACACGUGUAUACCCUACCUAUAAGACUGGUAUAACUUCGGGAAACCGGAGCUAAUACCGGAUGAUAUUUUGAACCGCAUUGUUCAAUAGUGAAAGACGGUCUUUCUGUCUCUUCUAGCUGGAUCCGCGCUGCUUUAGCUAGUUGGUAAGGUAACGGCUUACCAAGGCAACGAUGCAUAGCCGACCUGAGAGGGUGAUCGGCGAAACUGGAAGGGAGAAACGGAAAAGAGGACUACGGGAGGCAGCAGUAGGGAAUGGGAGGCAAUGGGCGAAAGCAUGACGGAGCAAGGGCGAGUGAGAGAUGAAGGUCUUGGGAGCGUAAAAAUCGGUUAUUAGGGAAGAACAGAUGUGGAAGUAACUGUGCAGAGAGUGACGGUAACGAACAAGAAAGCAACGGCUAACUACGUG